rnacentral:misc_RNA from 1 species
UUACUGAGUUUACGCUCUAUAACCCUUUGUGAACAUACCUAUAACUGUUGCUUCGGCGGGUAGGGUCUCCGCGACCCUCCCGGCCUCCCGCCCCCGGGCGGGUCGGCGCCCGCCGGAGGAUAACCAAACUCUGAUUUAACGACGUUUCUUCUGAGUGGUACAAGCAAAUAAUCAAAACUUUUAACAACGGAUCUCUUGGUUCUGGCAUCGAUGAAGAACGCAGCGAAAUGCGAUAAGUAAUGUGAAUUGCAGAAUUCAGUGAAUCAUCGAAUCUUUGAACGCACAUUGCGCCCGCCAUCAUUCUGGCGGGCAUGCCUGUUCGAGCGUCAUUUCAACCCUCAAGCUCUGCUUGGUGUUGGGGCCCUACAGCUGAUGUAGGCCCUCAAAGGUAGUGGCGGACCCUCCCGGAGCCUCCUUUGCGUAGUAACUUUACGUCUCGCACUGGGAUCCGGAGGGACUCUUGCCGUAAAACCCCCAAUUUUCCAAAGGUUGACCUCGGAUCAGGUAGGAAUACCCGCUGAACUUAAGCAUAUCAAUAAGCGGAGGAAAAGAAACCAACAGGGAUUGCCUCAGUAACGGCGAGUGAAGCGGCAACAGCUCAAAUUUGAAAUCUGGCCCUAGGCCCGAGUUGUAAUUUGCAGAGGAUGCUUUUGGUGCGGUGCCUUCCAAGUUCCCUAGAACGGGACGCCAGAGAGGGUGAGAGCCCCGUACAGUUGGACACCAAGCCUUUGUAAAGCUCCUUCGACGAGUCGAGUAGUUUGGGAAUGCUGCUCAAAAUGGGAGGUAUAUUUCUUCUAAAGCUAAAUACCGGCCAGAGACCGAUAGCGCACAAGUAGAGUGAUCGAAAGAUGAAAAGCACUUUGAAAAGAGGGUUAAACAGCACGUGAAAUUGUUAAAAGGGAAGCGCUUGUGACCAGACUUGCGUCCGGUGAAUCACCCAGCUCUCGCGGCUGGGGCACUUCGCCGGCUCAGGCCAGCAUCAGCUCGCUGUCGGGGACAAAAGCUUCAGGAACGUAGCUCUCUUCGGGGAGUGUUAUAGCCUGUUGCAUAAUACCCUUCGGCGGGC